CUGAUGAUGCUUCCAUUGCUUAUUAUUGGUGGUCCUCCGCGGAUGGGUGUCGUAGUGCUGGUCGCCGCCGAUUUCGCCUAAACGGACGCUGGGCCUCCGCUGGCGCUUGGAGCCGACGGUCUCCGAUGACGUGACUGCAAUUGGAGGUGCAGAGCUGCCGCCGUUUAGAUGGCCCUCCGGUGGAGGUAAGUCCGCCAUUUCCCAAGACGAAAGUUUGAGAUCCCCAGGCAAUUUUCCGGUGGCUGAACUUGGGUCCACUGUGUCUAUUGUGCUCCUAUGUAGGUUUGUUAAUAUGUGUAUGAGAUCAUUUCUUAUAUGUGUG
rnacentral:misc_RNA from 1 species